rnacentral:lncRNA from 1 species
CUUUUAUGUACAUUCCAAGCCAUGCAGUCCAUUCCCCAAUCUGUUUUCUAAAUUCUAAAUUUUCCACUUACCAGACAAAGUGUUUACGCUGCGCGAAACACGGCUUGUUUUUGAUUGUCACUUUUGACAGUUCCCCACCCCACCACACUAUAUACCCUGCUAAUAACCCUAAAAAGGCCCCUAAAUUUCUAUGUCAACUGACGAAACAACUCAAGUGUGAAUAUUUAUAUUCACACUUGCCAUUAAAAACUGCC